rnacentral:rRNA from 1 species
GACGAACGCUGGCGGCGUGCUUAACACAUGCAAGUCGAACGGAAAGGCCCUGCUUUUGUGGUGUGCUCGAGUGGCGAACGGGUGAGUAACACGUGAGUAACCUGCCCUUGACUUUCGGAUAACUUCAGGAAACUGGGGCUAAUACCGGAUAGGAGCUCCUGCUGCAUGGUGGGGGUUGGAAAGUUUCGGCGGUUGGGGAUGGACUCGCGGCUUAUCAGCUUGUUGGUGGGGUAGUGGCUUACCAAGGCUUUGACGGGUAGCCGGCCUGAGAGGGUGACCGGCCACAUUGGGACUGAGAUACGGCCCAGACUCCUACGGGAGGCAGCAGUGGGGAAUAUUGCACAAUGGGCGGAAGCCUGAUGCAGCAACGCCGCGUGCGGGAUGACGGCCUUCGGGUUGUAAACCGCUUUCGCCUGUGACGAAGCGUGAGUGACGGUAAUGGGUAAAGAAGCACCGGCUAACUACGUG